rnacentral:rRNA from 1 species
AGUUGUGCAUAUCAAAAAGCGGAGGAAAAGAAACUAACAAGGAUUCCCCUAGUAACGGCGAGCGAAGCGGGAAGAGCUCAAAUUUGAAAGCUGGCGUCUUCGGCGUCCGCGUUGUAAUCUCGAGACGUGUUUUCCGUGCGGCUCUAUGGACAAGUCCCUUGGAACAGGGCAUCGUAGAGGGUGAAAAUCCCGUACUUGCCAUGGAAGUACCGUGCUUUGUGAUACACGCUCCAAGAGUCGAGUAGUUUGGGAUUGCUGCUCAAAGUGGGUGGUAGACUCCAUCUAAAGCUAAAUAUCGGGGAGAGACCGAUAGCGAACAAGUACCGUGAGGGAAAGAUGAAAAGCACUUUGGAAAGAGAGUUAAAAGUACGUGAAAUUGUCGAAAGGGAAGCACUUGAAGUCAGCCAUGCUGCUUGAGACUCAGCCUGGCUUUUGCUUGGUGUAUUUCUCGGUAGCAAGCCAGCAUUGGUUUGUGUCGUCGGAGAAGCGCAUGGGGAAUGUGGCAUCCUCGGAUGUGUUAUAGCCCUGUGCAGGAUACGACGACGUAGACCAAGGAACGCAGUGUGCCCUCUGGGCGGGUCUUCGGACACCUUCACACUUAGGAUGCUGGCGUAUUGGCUUUAAGUGGCCCGUCUUGAAACACGGACCACAACUUAAAGCAUUAGCCAGCAUCCUAAGUGUGAAGGUGUCGAAGACCGCCCAGAGGGCACACUGCGUUCCUUGGUCUACGUCGUCGUAUCCU